GUAGGUGGCAAGCGUUGUCCGGAAUUAUUGGGCGUAAAGCGCGCGCAGGCGGUUCUUUAAGUCUGAUGUGAAAGCCCACGGCUCAACCGUGGAGGGUCAUUGGAAACUGGAGAACUUGAGUACAGAAGAGGAAAGCAGAAUUCCACGUGUAGCGGUGAAAUGCGUAGAGAUGUGGAGGAACACCAGUGGCGAAGGCGGCUUUCUGGUCUGUAACUGACGCUGAGGCGCGAAAGCGUGGGGAGCAAACAGGAUUAGAUACCCUGGUAGUCCACGCCGUAAACGAUGAGUGCUAAGUGUUAGGGGGUUUCCGCCCCCCUUAGUGCUGCAGCUAACGCAUUAAGCACUCCGCCUGGGAGUACGGCCGCAAGGCUG
rnacentral:rRNA from 1 species